rnacentral:rRNA from 1 species
UACGAAGGGGGCGAGCGUUGUUCGGAAUUACUGGGCGUAAAGCGCACGUAGGCGGCUUUGUAAGUUAGAGGUGAAAGCCCGGGGCUCAACCCCGGAAUUGCCUUUAAGACUGCAUCGCUUGAACGUCGGAGAGGUGAGUGGAAUUCCGAGUGUAGAGGUGAAAUUCGUAGAUAUUCGGAAGAACACCAGUGGCGAAGGCGGCUCACUGGACGACUGUUGACGCUGAGGUGCGAAAGCGUGGGGAGCAAACAGG